AUGGCCCUGAAUCAAGGCUGGCAGUUUUUUGAAGCUGUUGGUUUCAAUUGGAAGUCUAAAGUGGUAUUUUUCUAUGGUCUGUUGGCCAUUUCAGAACUUUAGAAAUGUAAUGGUAGUUCAUUAGAGAAACAACUCA
ensembl:snoRNA small nucleolar RNA SNORA2/SNORA34 family